rnacentral:rRNA from 1 species
UACGUAGGGUCCAAGCGUUGUCCGGAUUUAUUGGGCGUAAAGAGCUCGUAGGCGGUUCGGUAAGUCGGAUGUGAAAACUCAGGGCUCAACCCGGAGACGCCAUCCGAUACUGCUGUGACUUGAGUCUGGUAGGGGAGAGUGGAAUUCCACGUGUAGCGGUGAAAUGCGUAGAGAUGUGGAGGAACACCAGUGGCGAAGGCGGUUCUCUGGGCAUUACCUGACGCUGAGGAGCGAAAGCAUGGGGAGCGAACAGG